rnacentral:sRNA from 1 species
AGCAGAACAACCCUGAGUGCCUAGCCCUCUAGUGCUCAGCAAUUUCAACACUAAUAACUCAAGCUGCGUGAUCAGGGGGAACUAAAGGGAACCCAGCCUCUGCUGCUGACCAGUUGUGUACCUGCAGGCAAGUC